UUAAGCGACUAAGCGUACACGGUGGAUGCCCUGGCAGUCAGAGGCGAUGAAGGACGUGCUAAUCUGCGAAAAGCGUCGGUAAGGUGAUAUGAACCGUUACAGCCGGCGAUGUCCGAAUGGGGAAACCCAGUGCAAUUCGUUGCACUAUCGUUAACUGAAUACAUAGGUUAACGAGGCGAACCGGGGGAACUGAAACAUCUAAGUACCCCGAGGAAAAGAAAUCAACCGAGAUUCCCCCAGUAGCGGCGAGCGAACGGGGAGCAGCCCGGAGUCUGAAUCAGCUUGUGUGUUAGUGGAAGCGUCUGGAAAGUCGCAGGGUACAGGGUGAUACUCCCGUACACUAAAACGCACAGGCUGUGAACUCGAAGAGUAGGGCGGGACACGUGGUAUCCUGUCUGAAUAUGGGGGGACCAUCCUCCAAGGCUAAAUACUCCUGACUGACCGAUAGUGAACCAGUACCGUGAGGGAAAGGCGAAAAGAACCCCGGCGAGGGGAGUGAAAAAGAACCUGAAACCGUGUACGUACAAGCAGUAGGAGCCCACUAGUUGGGUGACUGCGUACCUUUUGUAUAAUGGGUCAGCGACUUAUAUUCUGUAGCAAGGUUAACCGAAUAGGGGAGCCGCAGGGAAACCGAGUCUUAACUGGGCGUUAAGUUGCAGGGUAUAGACCCGAAACCCGGUGAUCUAGCCAUGGGCAGGUUGAAGGUUGGGUAACACUAACUGGAGGACCGAACCGACUAAUGUUGAAAAAUUAGCGGAUGACUUGUGGCUGGGGGUGAAAGGCCAAUCAAACCGGGAGAUAGCUGGUUCUCCCCGAAAGCUAUUUAGGUAGCGCCUCGUGAAUUCAUCUUCGGGGGUAGAGCACUGUUUCGGCUAGGGGGUCAUCCCGACUUACCAACCCGAUGCAAACUACGAAUACCGAAGAAUGUUAUCACGGGAGACACACGGCGGGUGCUAACGUCCGUCGUGAAGAGGGAAACAACCCAGACCGCCAGCUAAGGUCCCAAAGUCAUGGUUAAGUGGGAAACGAUGUGGGAAGGCCCAGACAGCCAGGAUGUUGGCUUAGAAGCAGCCAUCAUUUAAAGAAAGCGUAAUAGCUCACUGGUCGAGUCGGCCUGCGCGGAAGAUGUAACGGGGCUAAACCAUGCACCGAAGCUGCGGCAGCGACACUAUGUGUUGUUGGGUAGGGGAGCGUUCUGUAAGCCGUUGAAGGUGGCCUGUGAGGGUUGCUGGAGGUAUCAGAAGUGCGAAUGCUGACAUAAGUAACGAUAAUGCGGGUGAAAAACCCGCACGCCGGAAGACCAAGGGUUCCUGUCCAACGUUAAUCGGGGCAGGGUGAGUCGACCCCUAAGGCGAGGCCGAAAGGCGUAGUCGAUGGGAAACAGGUUAAUAUUCCUGUACUUGGUGUUACUGCGAAGGGGGGACGGAGAAGGCUAUGUUGGCCGGGCGACGGUUGUCCCGGUUUAAGCAUGUAGGCGGAUGUUCCAGGUAAAUCCGGAACGUUACUAACGCUGAGGUGUGAUGACGAGGCACUACGGUGCUGAAGUGACAAAUGCCCUGCUUCCAGGAAAAGCCUCUAAGCAUCAGGUAACAUCAAAUCGUACCCCAAACCGACACAGGUGGUCAGGUAGAGAAUACCAAGGCGCUUGAGAGAACUCGGGUGAAGGAACUAGGCAAAAUGGUGCCGUAACUUCGGGAGAAGGCACGCUGAUGGUAAGUGAAGUGACUUGCUCAUGGAGCUGAAAUCAGUCGAAGAUACCAGCUGGCUGCAACUGUUUAUUAAAAACACAGCACUGUGCAAACACGAAAGUGGACGUAUACGGUGUGACGCCUGCCCGGUGCCGGAAGGUUAAUUGAUGGGGUUAUCCUCACGGAGAAGCUCUUGAUCGAAGCCCCGGUAAACGGCGGCCGUAACUAUAACGGUCCUAAGGUAGCGAAAUUCCUUGUCGGGUAAGUUCCGACCUGCACGAAUGGCGUAAUGAUGGCCAGGCUGUCUCCACCCGAGACUCAGUGAAAUUGAACUCGCUGUGAAGAUGCAGUGUACCCGCGGCAAGACGGAAAGACCCCGUGAACCUUUACUAUAGCUUGACACUGAACACUGGUCCUUGAUGUGUAGGAUAGGUGGGAGGCUUUGAAGUGUGGACGCCAGUCUGCAUGGAGCCAUCCUUGAAAUACCACCCUUUAAUGGCUGGUGUUCUAACGUGGGCCCCUAAUCGGGGUUGCGGACAGUGUCUGGUGGGUAGUUUGACUGGGGCGGUCUCCUCCUAAAGAGUAACGGAGGAGCACGAAGGUCAGCUAAUCCUGGUCGGACAUCAGGAGGUUAGUGCAAUGGCAUAAGCUGGCUUGACUGCGAGCGUGACGGCGCGAGCAGGUGCGAAAGCAGGUCAUAGUGAUCCGGUGGUUCUGAAUGGAAGGGCCAUCGCUCAACGGAUAAAAGGUACUCCGGGGAUAACAGGCUGAUACCGCCCAAGAGUUCAUAUCGACGGCGGUGUUUGGCACCUCGAUGUCGGCUCAUCACAUCCUGGGGCUGAAGUAGGUCCCAAGGGUAUGGCUGUUCGCCAUUUAAAGUGGUACGCGAGCUGGGUUUAGAACGUCGUGAGACAGUUCGGUCCCUAUCUGCCGUGGGCGCUGGAGAAUUGAGGGGGGCUGCUCCUAGUACGAGAGGACCGGAGUGGACGCAUCACUGGUGUUCGGGUUGUCAUGCCAAUGGCAUUGCCCGGUAGCUAAAUGCGGAAGAGAUAAGUGCUGAAAGCAUCUAAGCACGAAACUUGCCCCGAGAUGAGUUCUCCCUGACCCUUUAAGGGUCCUGAAGGAACGUUGAAGACGACGACGUUGAUAGGCCGGGUGUGUAAGCGCAGCGAUGCGUUGAGCUAACCGGUACUAAUGAACCGUGAGGCUUAACCUU
rnacentral:rRNA from 1 species